UGGACAAGGGGAAGGAAAAGGUGAUCGAAUAGCCAAAAAAGCCGUUCGACAACAUCCGAGUUUUCUAGAUUUCGCUCGAGGCAAUCGGAUUUGGGAUCGUUGAAGUCGAAGUCAUCCACACUAUCAAGCCUCCAUUUUGGUAUAAAUUUUGGUUGAACUUGAGAUGGCAUGUAUAGGACUACCCCUUGUUUGUUAAAUAUGUUGUAAUGUAAGUAUGUACGGCCGUGCGAAAAUGGCUCGAAAAGGGAAGCAUGAACUUAGACUAAUUGUGGGUUGUAUGUAUAUAUUUUGUGUCA